rnacentral:misc_RNA from 1 species
CUCUAAGUCAGAAUCCGUGCUAGAAACGAUGAUGUUGGUGUCGCACAUUAGACUUGUGUUUAAAUAGAGCUUUGCUCGUGAACCAAAUAUGGUGGGCUGGGUUGUCUUUGCGGAAACGCUUGGGCGACUUGUCUACGAAUUGUAAUCAUAAUAUGGGCGGCGGUGAAUCCUUUGCAGACGACUUGAAUGGGAACGGGGUACUGUAAGUGGUAGAGUAGCCUUGUUGCUACGAUCCACUGAGGUUAAGCCCUUGUUCUAAAGAUUUGUUCAACUUUGUUGGACUUUCUCUUUUCCUUUUACAUGCUGAGACCUUGAGGGCCGGGAUAGUAUCCUUUGUGCACUCGCGACAGCAUGUUACUUAGAUUCGAAAGGGUAGGCUAACAACAACGCCUUAGUGUUUUGUUACCUUUCUCUUUUGAAUCACGAGUUAUUAUGAGCCUUGAAGGCUUAUAAGGCACUUAGUUAGCAAGCUCUAACCGUGCGCUGACUUGGAACGGUCUUUACCUUGUACUUGAUAUCGACCUUAUGGCCGAUAUCCCGUAUAUGGUAUAGCCAAGAUCCUUGAAAGGGCGAGUCGACGACUGAUUUUCUGGAUCGUUAGUGAGCCUGAGGGCCUGCCCUAAGGUUGCCAUGAUUGAAAAGGCCUUAGAAGCUAAGUAAGUUAAGCUACGGUUACCUUUUUAGCCGUUUCAACCGUUUGCUUAGCUUUCGAGGGCUACGUUCAAAAUUUGAACGGCAACUGGUUCUGAAACGAAAGGUUUGCUAAGUAAACCAUUGGUCAAGAUCGGUUUGCAACAAUUUUGGUGGCUGUAGGGCGAGUUUUCAUUGACUUGGCCUAUAGUGCGAGUUGGUAACAAACGCAUAAAUGCAUACUUGUAUCCACGGCCAUAGGACUAUCACUAGUGAUCGCGCGCUGCAGUCGACAUAUGGGAGAGCU